rnacentral:lncRNA from 1 species
CGCUUCAGGUUAAAGUUUUUGGUCAAGGUAGUUUUUGAAGAAGUUGAAGUCUAAUCAACUUGAAACUUAGUACACAUGUUCCCUAUUAUAUGAUCUUUCUAAUUUUAAUUCCAAAUUAAAGUUUUGACCCUAAUUUCACGGUCCACUGAACAUAAAAAAUGAUAGUGCGAGUGGGGCAUCCGUGUACUUGGGACACAUUCUUGUUGUCAAUCUUUUCUUGGCUUCUAUGCAGGCCUCGACAAUAACGCUUGUCCGAUUGUCCGGUACCAGAGGUAAAAAAGGUCGGAAAAGUAAAAGCUAUACCAAGCUUGUCCGAUGGGACAAGUAGAAUCAUUCUGCAGAAAAUAAAUUUUAAUCCAACUUUGAUGAACAAAGUAUAAUUAUUAACAAAAAAACAAGAAAAGAAGAUUUGUUUGACAUCUUUCCUUUUUAAACUGAAACUAAUUGAAACUUUUUAUUUCUCAAGACCCCUCAGAAUUGCAAUCGAUAUUAAUUUAAAACUGGUUCUUUGUCAAGUACUUUUAACAGGUAAAAAGCACACUUUUCUCGGAAACCAGUCUUACCGAUCCCAUUAAACCAUGCGCUUUUUAUAUAAGGUAACUUUAAAAGACAGUUCGUCACCAGCUCGGAAAUGAUUCGGCUCCAAGUUUAAAGGGAAACUUCGCAAAAAAAUAAAAAAUUGAUAUAAUGUCCAUUCUGUAUAAAAAUUCUCAAAUUUAUAGAUAUUAAAGUUUUAUUCCGCUAGAUAACAGAUCACCAUCAAUUUUAAAUUUUGAGUAUCAAUUCUCUGUGUUCCGCCA